rnacentral:rRNA from 1 species
AGCGAUGAAGUUUCUUCGGAAAUGGAUUAGCGGCGAACGGGUGAGGAACACGUGAAGAAUCUGCCCUCCACUUUGGGAUAACACCGGGAAACCGGUGCUAAUACUGAAUAUUGAAACAUAAGUGGCAUCACUGAGUUUUGAAAGAAUUUCGGUGGAGGAUGACUUCGCGGCCUAUCAGCUAGUUGGUGAGGUAAUGGCUCACCAAGGCAACGACGGGUAGCCGGCCUGAGAGGGCGACCGGCCACACUGGGACUGAGACACGGCCCAGACUCCUACGGGAGG